ACCUCGAAGGAGGCGUCCUGCUGCUGGGCCAGUCGGAGGUCCCUGCCGGUCUGGAAACAAUCAAAGACAUCAUCUUCCACCAACGUGAUGAGACAUAAUACCUGAUACCCACAACUUCAAGGAGAAGAGGUCUAUUUUGUUUCAUGGUCUCAGAGGGUUUGGUACAUGGUCGGCCGGCUCCAAGAUGGAAAUGGCAUGGUAAAAGAGCACAGCAGAGGAGAGCUGCUCAACCCAUAGUGGACAGGAAGCAGAGAGAACAGAGGAGCCAGGGACCCCAGUGACCACCUCCAACUAGCCCCACCUCUUCAGAGCACCCUCAGCCAUGAGUUCAUUGAUCAAUGAACCAAUGGAUCUUGCUAUACAGCCAGGCUGGCCUCAGGAUCAAGGUGAGCCUCUUAUCUUAGCUUGCUAAGUGCUGAGAUUACAGGUGUGCACAACUACACCUGGAAACCAUCUGCCAUACCUGUUCUUUUCUGAAUUCUGCAGCUGGGCCUCUCUAGCUUCUUCACUGGCUUGGUUUUUCCUAGAAAUUCUCAGUAAUGAAGGUUUUCUCUAUCUGCUCCAGGGAUUCAUUUAUUCUCAUGACAUACAUUAUUUCUCUAUGGAAUAACCAACUCACAGAAUUCAUGGCUUCUAUCCCAACAUCUCACCUGUUUCAGUAUCAAGCCUCACUUGGUGGUCCUUCCACUAGAGACAAAACGUCAACUUCUCAAAUUGUCUGAAGAGCACAGCAGAAGCUAAGCUAAGCUUGCCCACCUUCCGGCUGUGGAAGGCAGUGGAUGAAAUGGAAGUGACACUCACUGGAAGCCACAGAGCCUUCAGCUGGCCCCAGGCCACCCCUAUGAAUGUUUAAAGUUACUUCUGGCUGGCAUGGAUUGAGGCUGGAGGCACACCAGAGAACUGCUUUAAAAUCAUUUUCUUUCCAAGUAUAAUAAUCCAUCUCUGGCUUAUUAUUUCUUUCUUAUAAAAUUAGAUGGCAGAAAAUGUCUCAGUACUGUAUUUGAUUUGUGUGGUUCCACCCCACCCCACAUCCCGCAUUUCGGUUUCUGUUUCAUCAGAAACGUGCUACACCUUGCUAUUUUACCAACGGAAUAAACCUUGGCUCAACUUGAACCCCAGAACAGGUACAAGGGGAGAGAGGACCCUAAUUAGAAAGAGAAAAAUCAGCCUUGGAUGAUGCCUUCCCGUUACCCGGGACAGUUCAGCACCAAAGAGCCUAGGAGUUCCCCUUCCUCCUUCGACAGCCAUCCUAGAGGAAGCAGAAGUGCACCUGAGUAGAGAAUGAAUA